UAUUAAUAAAAUAUGUACAAGAUAAAUACUAAUGAUACUCUAAGGCAUACUAUUAACAAAAGACACAGGCCUUGUUUGCUGGGUUUUGCUUAGGUGAUUUCUUUCUUAGGUGGGAGGGGGUCAACUCAGUAAGUAGGUACAAGAAGAGAUUGAUGAAGAACUUGGAGGAUCUAAGAGCAGUCUGUGAUGAGAUAAUUGAGGAACACUUGAAGAGGAAUAAGAACAUUGGAAGGGAAAAUGAAUUUUGUGGAUGUUUUGCUUAGGGUUCAGAAACGAAAGGAUUUAGAGGUGCCCAUUACUGAUGAUAAUCUCAAAGCUCUGGUGCUGGUAAGUUAUGAUCAAGUCUUGAUCAUUAAUGAUGAUAAUCUUGAUCCACAUUUGAAUUAUUCUGCAAUAUUAGGUCACUUGGUUCGUGGGAGUGAUGCAAGUUCUUGUCUUUUCUAAUUUCAAAGUCCUCUUGUUUGUCCCUUUCCUGUAUCUUCUAUCAUCAGGCUAAGUCUACUAGUGCUGUCGAAAUUAUUUCUAAUUAUUCAUGUGUAUUUUCACAGUAGAACACUUGAUUUCCUUCCCUUGAAACCAUACAACACCUCCUUUGAACCAUAGAGCCAAUCCUCUUCAACUUACAUGGCAACUGGACAUGUUUGUUGCUGGAACUGAUACAUCAUCUACAACAAUAGAAUGGACAUUGACAGAGCUAGCAAGGCAUCCGAAAUUCAUGAAGAAAGUAUAAGAAGAAGUCCGGAAGAUUGCAUCUGGGAAAGGAAUGGUUGAUGAGAGUCAUCUCCAACACCUGCAUUAUAUGAAAGCUGUGAUAAAGGAAACAAUGCGAUUACAUCCACCAGUCCCUCUGCUGGUUCCUCAAGAAUCAAUGGAGAAAUGUGUUCUCGAUGGUUACCAAAUACCUGCUAAAACUCGGGUUAUAAUAAACUCCUAUGCUAUUGGGAGGGGUCCAAAAUCAUGAGACAAUCCUCUGAACUACAAUCCCGAAAGGUUUCUAGAUAAUGGCAUUUAUGUCAAGGAUCAAGAUUUCAGGUUCCUACCCUUUGGGGAGGAAGGCGAGGUUGCCCUGGUUAUACCUUUGGAUUAUCAACAAUCGAGAUUGCACUUGCUCGACUUCAGUAUUAUUUCGACUGGGCAUUGCCUCAUGGAGUUGAAGCUGACGAUGUGGACCUCUCUGAGAUUUUUGGGCUUGCCACGAGGAAGAAAACUGCACUUGUUCUUGUACCAACAGCAAAUAAAGACUAUCAGUUCCAAGGAGAUGAUUUUUAGCCGAUACUGCAAACUCUUUUCAGGGAAAAUGAUGUUUAGUUUGGAGUUCAGACUCUCUUCUUGUAUUUUUCUCAUCAUUGCAAGUCUAACAAUAAUCAUGUUUGGUGUGAUGCGGAAAAAAACAUAACAAAAUUUAUUGAUUCAAACAAAUUCAAGCAUGACAUAUUUCAUACAUGCGUAGAAAGGGCUAUGAAAAAGGUUAUGUAAAUUCUGGUUUGAAGAUAGAAAAUCUAUAAACCAAACCAUGCAGUAUAUUUGUGGCUCAUGCUGCCUCACUGUCUGACUUUGUACGCACUGUGAAGCUUCAUUUCACAGAAGCAAUCUCCUUUGACAUUGUCAAGCGUAAGGCCCCUUCACCUUCUGCCUUUAACUUUGGCCUUUUCUUUGGGAACUUCCUCUGCUUCCUCAGUUGCAGUUGAAUUUAGAGCAGUAAGCUUUCCAAAAGAGUCUUUUGCAUCGCCAAAGAAGUCUUUCACUUUAUCAACUACUGUUUUGAGUUGGUCUUGUGUUGGAAGCUGGAGAUUGGAUACAGAUGUAUAAUGAUUUAGAAAGGAUCAACAUGUCAAUAAAUCAAUAAUCAAAACUCCCAACAUAAUAUGAUCCGAGUUGGAAAAGAAAAAUUCACAGCCAGCCAGCACAUAUAUAAUAGACCACUAGGAUUGACAAUCCUAGAGGAAAAAAGAAUCUUGGGUUCUUUAAGACCUCUUUUCAAGUUCAGCCCCCCAAAAAGAAAAAGAUAUACAAUGCUCACCUCAAUCACAUCUGUGGUAGAAAGGGCAGCCCUCACAUUACCGUUUUCCUUCACAUUCAACAAAUAGAAAAAAAUCAGGCAAUGAAAUGGACAAAUCGUUCUCUAUCUUUUUGUGCAACUAUUAGUUAACAUGUCAAGAACAUGGGAAAAAUAUAUUACAAUUAGAACUUUGUACAAUGCAAGACAAAGGCUAUGAGGGCCAUUACAACAAGUUUGUAACCAUAUCUGAACUCAGUCGCUGACUGCAAUACACGAUAUUGUUUAAAUGCUGUCUUCUGUAUCUCCUUCUCAUCCUAUUCAAAUUAAGGUCAGUAGUCAGUAGCACAUAGGGAAAAUUAUCCAAACUAACAAAAAAUGAUGAUGUGGCAGGCACCAAAAAAAAUGUUCAACCUAACAGUCUAAGACUGAAUAAAUAUCAAUUUGAUGCAUCUUCUUUUCCUCUUUCUCAUAUGAAAAUCUGACAGUUGUUUAAUCAACAAAAGAAAGAGUUUGUUGUUUGAUCAGAACCUAAACCAACAUGGAAGGCCAUACAACAGCAAGGCAAACCACAAAAGACAUGAACGCAAGGUUCUGUUUCUGCAUGUGAUUAGGUUUUGUGAGUACAACAACACGAUUCAAAUGAAAAUAAAGGGCAUAAGUUGCCAUAAAACUCUCUAUAAAUAUAAAAACUAAACAUUAUGUGGUUUGAGUAAACUUUCAAGGAUAAAUCAGUCUAAUAUCCGAUGUGAGAGGUGUUGGCACUUAGCACAUUAUUAUUGGAUCAUCACAAGCUCUUAUCCAGAUCAUAACUCAAGAUUGAGUUCUUUGUGGGUGUGGGUGACUGCUGCGGGCAUCAUAGCAAAGGAAUUUCAGGCAGGAAGCCACACAGCCAACCUGUGUAAGAGCUCAUCAAGAUCCACUGGCUUACACAUUCUGACCACACAGCUAUAUAUCAGCCGGUGUUAACAGAUCCAUCUAUCCAGAAGCCGGCAUGGCCAAGCCGUGCAACACCACACACGUCAUUCGAGAGACUGUCGACAGGAUUAGCUUGACUUUUCCUGUUUUGAUUAGAAUUCUUAUUUUAAUUAGAAGCCUUCUUUUCUUUUAUUAUAGAAUAAUAUUCAUAUCUAAUUUAGGACUUGUAAACUUAUUUCUAUUUAGUUUAGGCUUGUAAAAACUACAUAAACCCCUUUAUUUGUAAUUCUAGGGAGAUUUUUAGACUUUUAUCAAUCAGAUUUCCUUUAGAAAGGCUGUGCUUUAUUUGUUCUAUUGGGUUCUUAAGAUUCUGGAUUGAAUCUUGCUUGUUUCUUUGAGGAUUUGAUGGUAUGCGGACCGUGUACUACAGUACUUGCUACAUCUAUCCCAUUACAUAUUUAAAAGCAGCUUAUUCGGAGAGGCAAAAAGAGUUUGAAACCAACAAAAUUUCGAAAAAAAUUCCUGAAUCGAGUGUAAGGCCUUACAAAGCACAAAGAAUCAAAGAAGUUUUAGCAACUGCUAUUAAUGAUGAAACAAAGAAGAAAGAAUGAACGUUAAAGAAGUUUUCUCAAAUAUAAAAGCUAGAUGAUAGUUCAUAACAGAAUUAAUUGCUAAGAGAACUUACUCUGUAAAUAACUGCUGCAAGAUUUCUAGCGAGUGUGUCUUUGUAGAUAUAUUUUCCCAGAAAAUUAUCUUUCGCAGCAACCAUGAUUUUAGCAGUUGUGCCACCCGUUACAAGACUUAAUGGGUACCAAAGAUAAACCUGCAACAAAAGGAAAGAAUGUGAAAUUGCGCUAGUUAAUUAACCAAUUUAAACAGAUAAUAUUAACAAAAUAGACUUCAAUCCCUCAAAAACUAAAUUGCACAAACAACCCAUAAGAAAAAAUGAAAAAUUAUAUUGAAAUUAUCGCUACAAAGCCUAUCUAUAAAAACAAUGGCCAUACCCAGCUUAAGAAUACCAAGCAAAUGCAUAAGAAAUUUCAAGCUCAUUGAGAAAUGAAUAAAACCCAUGAAAGCAAUGGUGUCAUUUACCAAAAUAUCACCAGUAAUCCAAAAUUCAAUCAAAAGUAAUCAGCUUUUUACCCAUGAAUUUGGAAUUCAAGCUUGUAAUUAGAUAGGGGCCAGAAAAUUCAUUCAACUAGAGAAAGCAACUAUAGUAUAAGGAGGGAAGAAAAAGAAACAAACAUUAGCCAUGCGAAUGAAGAUAACAAAUUUGGGAUUGCCAUCAUCUUCAAUCUUGGGCAGGGACGGUGUUGGAGGCCUUUGAAACUGACGUGCUUGCAUUCCUUUCUUUCCUUUAGCUUUAACUACCAAUAAAGAGUGCCCUGUUUGCCUCUGAAGAGGUUUUUGUGAUGUUCUAGUAGAGAACAGUGAGUGCUUAGCCAGCCCAUCUUCAUGUGUUCUUGAGGAGUUUGAUAAGGGAAGCCUAACCAGUGCAUUUAGAGACAAACCCACUUCCAUUUUCAGCUUCUUCGAAUCGAAACUCCAGUUCUUCUCCUGUUUUUUCACGAUUCAGAAGUAAUGGCAAAUCUUAUCCACGAAAAGGAAGAUGGAAGACGAAGGACGUGGAGAAAGAAUAUCCACCAUACACGAGGCAGAUGGCAUGGCCUCCAAUUUGCCAAUCAUCUGGUCCCAUCAGCUACUGGUGGCCUGCCGCCCUGGGAUGAUCCACGCCAUCUGUAUUGUUCUAGCCUCAACACUUCUAUGCGUUUUGGGGAGAGAUGAAGAUACGGUGCGUUUUUGUGCAAGUCGAACAAAAUAAAUUAUGAGAGAAAUAUAAAAUAAUUAAAUCAGUUUAAUUCAAUUUUUCAGUUUGAUUUUUUAAUUAAUUUUGUUGGAUUAAUUUCAUAAAAAAUAAAAAAAAAAUCAAAUUCUACACGCAAAGAGUUCCUAUUUAAAAAAAUAAAUAAAAAAAAGGCUUCCAUUUGAGGAUAACAGACCCAAUAAACCCAAUGUGCUUGACAGGGAGAUUGUUAGAAAUACAUAAGUGUGAAAUUCUCACAUAAAAAAAAAUAUAUAGGAUGAGUAAGAGACAUAUAAGUGGGAAAAACACAUAUCCUUAAAGUUUUAAGUUGAAUGUGGUGUCAAGUUUAUGAAUGUGUUCUUUCAUAAAACUCAUAUCUCUAGACACUUUGGACUUCUCAGAUCUCUAAUAGAACUAUUCUUGGAACCCUCAUUUACAAGUUUAAACUUUUAGGAUGAGUAAUUUCUUCACAUGAUAUCAGAACCUUUGUUAGUUAAAUAUUUCAGCAUAAGACAAAGUGAAUAUGUGUUUAUUCAGGCAUUAAGCUUAAUGGGUUUUUGCAUGUAGGGAUAUAAUAGAGAUAAAACUAUUUUUAAAACUCUCAUCUACAAGUUUAAACUUUUAAAUUAAGUAGUGGCUGAACACUAACGGUAUGGAAUCUGAUUAGAAAGUUGAAAGCAGCGGAGAGCCAUAAACAUAAAUUAGGAAUCGAAUCCUUAUCAUAUUGUGACUUGAGGGUAUGCCACUUGAGGUCCUAACAAUCCUACCACUAAUUUCUUGAUUUGUGGCUUGAUUAUUAGUUGGCAAGUCAUUUCACUCCGUUUGAUUGAUUGGGACUUAAAUCUUAAUAUUAAAUUAUAAACUACUUUUUUUUUUCGUAAUUUCUUAAUUUUACAAGAAAUUUUAAUUAAAGCAAAAGGUAUCUUAUCGCAGUGAAGCCAAAAGAAAAAAAUAUAUAUAUACAUAUGGGGUCCAUCAUUAUUCACAAUAAGAUUGAGGGAACUUUACCUGGUGGGGAUGGGAUACUCAGGGAAGAACUUGGCAAGAAUUUCC
rnacentral:misc_RNA from 1 species